rnacentral:rRNA from 1 species
GAUCCAUGGCUCAGGAUGAACGCUAGCUACAGGCUUAACACAUGCAAGUCGAGGGGCAGCAUGGUCUUAGCUUGCUAAGGCCGAUGGCGACCGGCGCACGGGUGAGUAACACGUAUCCAACCUGCCGUCUACUCUUGGACAGCCUUCUGAAAGGAAGAUUAAUACAAGAUGGCAUCAUGAGUUCACAUGUUCACAUGAUUAAAGGUAUUCCGGUAGACGAUGGGGA